CCGGAGCUCACCUGGAACCCAAGCGCUGGGCCGCGAGCGCCGCGCGCAGCGCCGGCUCCAGCCAGUGCCUUUCUCUUCACACCUCCCCGCCAGCAGAGGGAGCAGGCUCCGGCCUCCGCCAGCCCCAGAGAGAGGCCCUCAUAGCGCAGCGGCGGGCUGAAGAGCUCCUUGAGCGCGGCCAGAGCGGACGCCGAGGCCGAGGACGCGCCCAGAGCCAGCAAGGGAUGCUACCACGCUGUCACCUCUCACCGUGAGCCACAACUGCUGGUCCUGCGUUCACGGCUUUCCUUUGUCUUUCAGGUGGAGACGCGCUGACCUGCCCCAAUACCUAUUGUUGUUUGUUAAAUUACUCCAAGAUACUUAUAGUUAACGGCAAACACCCAUUUAUAACCACAAAUCAUGUCAGAUGUUCAGGACCAGCACAAUCAAUCAAGUAAACAGCACCCUCCUUGAGUAUGUGGCAGGUGUGUGAGGAUUUCAUGAACCUGUCCUGCAUUUCCAAAUCCAUCCUGAGGCCUCUCCCUGGACACAGGUCUGUGGAUCAGCCUGUACUCGGGCAGUUUUACCUUCUAUGUCUGUUUGUCACGGUCCUCUUGUCCUAGUGCUCAUCACUGCACGUUCCCAGCUCCAGCAAGUGGCCACUCUUUUCCCUCCACAACCAAAGGCCCGACGGCCCAGCCCCCCGGUGGCAGGUGGCCCUUCCAUGGCUGAGGUCACACACCCAGCAUCGCAUCCUGCCCUUCUCGGGGCCUCGGGCCCCUUCGACUCGUCUCCAGGGAUUGCACUUGCUCCUGCUGCCCACGGAGGUUUCCUUCCUGUGAUUCCACUCGGAGGGGGCGCUUUUCUUUGCUGGCUUCAACCAUCACAGAGCUGCUUUGUGUUCGCCGGCAGCUGCCACGCUUCCCUGAAAAGGCGGCUUCUGUUCUGCUGGAGAUGAGCUGAUUUGCCUGGCAGCCAACUUAAACAAGGAGGCAAGAAAACAGCAUAGACUGGGCUCCCAAAUACAUCUACAUGGAUUUAAUGGACACGGAUAUAAUGAAGGGCAAAGUGUAUAAUGAUAUAAUUGAUAUAGAAAAAGAAAGUAAGAAGAGAUACUGGAGGGAAGGGAGAGGAAAAAAGGCAAACGUGGAACAAUGAAUUACAGAACAGGAAGAAGAAGAGAAAAGAAAGGCAAGAAAGGAGGUGAGUAGGUACCUGAGA
rnacentral:lncRNA from 1 species